AGAAAAAUAAGCUAAUUAAGCUACUGGGUUCAUACCCCAUUUAUAGAGGUUCCUAUCCUCUUUUUUCUA
rnacentral:tRNA from 2 species